GCUAUCUUUCAGCUUCCAGGAGUUGUUUUGCAGGGCUGUUUUUCUCCACGCCUAGUUGCACUUGGUGUCUGGGUGCCCCUUGCUCCCUGUGCCUGCUGCCUAGACGGGCUGACUCCCUGCCUGACCGAAUUAGUAUGUCACUGCCUCCACCAGCUCUCUGCCCUGACAGGCUUCCCCUUGACUCAGACUAGCCUGGUGCCCAGAGUAACAAUAGGUAGGAAGGUGUGGAAAUGUUUUUGAAGAGACUGGCAUAAGAAAACGUCUUAAAAAGGACUGGAAUUCGCAGGAGAUUGAGGAGGAAGAGCUGAAGGGCUUGGUGUGAAGCAAGGCAGGAAUGAUAUGAUGCAUGACUAUUUAACAUGAAGAUCCUGCUCAGUGCUGGGCAGGAUUUACGGAUGUUCAUGUUCUCACCUUCUGUCUCUGCUCCGGGACCUGUGGAGGGGGAAGCUGAGCAAUGCCUCCUCCUGUUUUAUCUGCCCUGCAUCUAAAGGAUGUCAGUCUCCAGAAAUGUCAGCCCAAGUCAAGCACCUUUCAGCAGCUCUAAAUUUGCUAAUGGAGUUAGUUUGCUUUAAAUGCUUUUCCCUUUUCAGAGUCUCUGCCCUUUCUCAAUGGGUUAGGACAAGACGGGCCUCCUUUUGAGUUUGAAUUGUGAAAACCUUUCUGCUCACUUGCUAGACAAGCUUUACCUUCCAUGCAGUAAAUGCAGUUUGAUAUCUCCAGCAGACUGUCUCCUCUCUGUUGUGUAUCUUAUCCUGUAAACCCUUCUCAACCUUGAGGCAAAAGCUGAGAUGUCACAAAGUAGGCAGCAGCUGCUUUUUCCUAAAACACCUGUGAGUCAGUUCCCAGUGGGCAUGAAGAUGAAGAUAACCUGGAAGGCUUGCAGGGACAGGCUUCACUCAUCACCUCGAAGUUCCUUGCUAAUCUGUUUUAACCCUCCCAGACACUUUUUUUUCAUCAGUCUUACAAAGCAUUUCAAACUUCUUGUCAACACAGGAAGACUGUGUUGACCACUGGAUAUAGGUCUGGAUAUAUGUUGGGUCUGGGAACAUCUGACCUGAAUUUUAUAUGGGCAUGCAUUUAAGGUGUUUAUGAGCUUUGAUUUUGGUGAAUAAUGGCAGCUAUUCUUAUUUCCAUUACUGUGAAAGCAGCUACUGAUAAUGCAUGUGGACACCUGGCAGUCCACAAACUGAUAUCAUUGUACGUUGCCACCUCAGUGAUGCACUUACCUUUCCGUAAUAAUUACACAACACUAACAGUGAAAUAAAAUUAACUGAUAAAUUAUUUUGAGUAUCUUGGUAAAAGCUCCAUAAUUGUCCUAGAAGCAACAGAAAUAAAGUGUUCGUCUAAAUAAGAAAAUAUAUAAGGAGAUUCUGUGCAUGCACACCCACACCUUUUUUUUUUUUAAAUACAGCAUCUUCCAUACUCCAGGUAAAUGAAGGUGACAUACUGAUUGUUGGAGAAGAAACUAUUACAGGUUGUAGAGUUACACGUUCAACAUGAGCUCGUGCGUAGCUCUAGAGGCAAAACCUAUUUACUGAGGAUUAAUAUAAUAAUCCUUGCACAUUUGUUUUAGUGUCUUGUCACUGAGCUGUCUGCUGGAAAGAGUGAAAAGAAUUUAGGCAAAAGAAUGAAAAAGUCUGGAUUGCUUCGCCAUGAAGCAGGAGCAGGCUGAUGGAGAAUGCCACUGCCUAUUAUAUCUCUAGGCUGCAGCAUCAGGCUGAGAGUGAGAAACACUGCAGGCCAUCCAGCAGCAAAACCAGUAUUUCCGCUGAGGAGACGGAGGCUCAUCUCCCUGAGAAGCCUUUCUUUUUUCUGCCGCAGUAUGUAUAAAAGACGUACAAAGCCAGCUGGUCAGAUGGAUUAGAAAGCACAGCACCACGUCAAUGGGCACCCUUGUUUGUGUUGUUGAGAAGAGAGUCUUAGUUAACAAAGAAAGAAAUGCCUUCCCUGUAAUCUCCACUAACGAGGAGACCCUAGUGAAGUUUUUGUUUUUUAAAAGGCUUUGGCAAAAGAGGUUUUGGACACUUGGAUUAGUUUAUGUUCCCUCCCCCUCCCCACUUGAUCGUUAAGGAUUUGUCCGAGUCAUGGAUUUUUACUGGGCUUGUUAACUCUGUUGUUAUUUUUUUUUUUUCAGCCAAGGGAUAAAGAAGUCUUUCAGCGAGAGCCACUCACUGGGGAUUAGCUGCGAGUGGACCGAACAACUCGGUGACUCCCCGGAGGGGGUGACCCCUGACUCCCGGGUCAGGUGGUGACCCAUCUCUUGCCUCCGAGCUGAGCCAAGCUGAAGGCUCCCGACAAGUGUUUGCUCCGUCCUCACCCAUCUCCCUCUGCACAGUGACAGGCAGCGCAGAAGAUGGCCUCUUGUGUUACCACAGCUGCUAUUCUGCAAAACCGGGGAAAAUGUAAACUAGAUAGAAUAUCAAAGGAUAUGGUAACUGUUAGUGGAAGGAAACCAUAACCUCUUUUACCACCUGAAGGGACCUGUUUGCUUUCCUCUAUAAUUUUCAGAGCUGCCUUUCCAGCAGAGAUUUUCCCUGCGCAGCAGCGGUACUUAAUUCAUUGAGGAACUGAAAGGUGGCAAGAGUGGCUUUUGGAAAAUUUUCUGUUCUAGAUGGUAAUUCUUCCCAGUCCUGAAGGUAUCACUGAUGCUGCGGUGGUGGCAGUGGAGAAAGCUUUCAAGGGAGCUGUUUGCACAAGCUACAAGAAUUGAACCCAUUUACUUUGGUAGGGAAAUUACAAGUGAUGCAUUUGGGAUGGAAAACACAGUAGGAAGAGGAGCCAAAAAAUUAAACUGAAACUUUACACGUAACAGAGGUCAGAUUGUGUGUGUAUGUAAGGCUAAUAUGUACAUCAGUAUCACUGAAUAAAUGAGUUAUUCAGAUUAACUCUGCUUUUGAGAAAAUAUGUUAAAUACUAUCCCAUCCACUGUUUUCCACACUUUGAAAUCCUGGCUGGUUUACCCAGCAGACAGCUGCAUCUUUUAUCAGGUUAUCGAGGGCUUGGAUCAAUUAAUGAUGAAUAAGUGUCCAACCUAUCCUAUUGAAAGGUCUGUCAGUCACUAUACUGUACCAGCAGAUUUUCAAGAAACCGCUGUGGCAAAAGAACUUUUCCCUCCAAGCUCUUAUUAGAGGAAAAGUACAAAUCACUUUCAUUGUUGGAAGGCAGUGUCAGGUCAGACAGAGUCAGGUUUAGUGAUGUGUUUUAUUUUUUUAUGCGAAUAAACUAGAGAGAAUUAGAUGAACUUCCAGUGUAUUAAAGCAUUGCUCCUUAAAAUGAGUUUUCCCAAUAAGGCUAAUGAAUUAAGCUUCAGUGCAACUUAGAUGCCCUGGCAUACAACAAAUGAAGAGGGGAAACGGUGAUAGUAAAUAUACUGUACAUAUUUAAAUAUGUACUUAUUUAAGUAUUUGAUACAUAUUCUUGUGCAAAUACAAAUGUUUUAGCUUUUUGCUUCCCAGCUAUUAAUUAGUAGUUGAAUAAACGUGCAUGGCAGAGGAAUGCUCUUAGAAGCUUUAUAAAAUGAACAGGCUGUAGCAGCUGUAGAGGUAUUUAGGGAGAGUAUCUGUGCAGGAGGAGGCAGGUAAAUAGGAAGAAGUUGUGCAAAAAGCUGGCAAAGAGCAGGAGUAAUAAAGGAGGAGUAGGUGAUCUGCAAUAAGCAUAGAAAAAGGAAGGCCUAUAAGAUUAAGAAUCAGGCAAGCUUUGUGCCUUUCCAGCAUCUCCUUUUUUACUCACUCUAUGCAGACCUGUUUUUUUUUUUUUCCCAAGUUGGUUGCAGGUAAUGAAAUACCUCGUCAAUACAAGCACUUUUAAAACUGUUGGCCGUUGGGCAACACAGAAAAGUGCAGUAUGUAUUUCUCUAGCAAUGGCAGCUGUCGUGAGUGCAUCAAACUUACUCUGUGGAAAUCCCGGGGCAAAAAUUAUUAGAUUAGGUUCAAAAUCUCUCCUCUGGCUGUUGGGGUCCUUACGGAUCUGAAGUAAGGGUCUGUAGCAGACUGCUAGGAGGAGCUUGAGGAGUAGAGCUGCAGCUGGUGUUUUCACUUCUUGGCUGAAGAGAAACCUCCUUCAGUUCAGAUUGCUGAAGGUAAAGCAUGUUUCCGCUAAUCAAAUCUCUUUGUACUGGAGACAUCUGGUACCCCAUCCUCAUCUUAUUCCUCUUCUUCCCUGCACUUGGCUGUCUACUCCCUCUCCCAGGCUGGCAGCAAAUCUAGUGCUGGUGCGGCCCCGAGUAAAAUGGAUUCAACUCACUGGCCUGGAAGAAACUAACAUGACAAAAAAAGUGAAUUGUUUGCUCCUGGGUUAAUGAACUGAAUCGACUCAGUGAAGGCUCUGAUGAACAUUAGUUUGAUGCAAGAGAAAGGGUGCGUUAGCAUGACUGGGAUGGAGAGAAGCAAAGGCAGGGCAGCAGUGCAGGACGUGCUACUUCUGUCAAUGAUGAACUAACUGUGAGAAUGACUCAACUCUGACAUGUAACUUCCGCCGAAGGGUUUUAAUAUGGGACUGUGAAACAGGAACUGCUUUUUUGCACAAGCUGUGCCAUUGCCUGUCGUUGUCAUAAACAGCCAAUGUGUGCUAUAACAAGAGAUUAGAGUGCGCAGGCAUGACUCCCAUGUUCAUUCAGAGGGAGAGAAAAUCACACGUGAUAAUGUUGUUGAAUGCACCACUGCAAGUCACUCUGCUACUGUAAAGGUGAAGGUUGUAUCAGAAUUUACUGGAAGGGGGAAUAAGUAAUCAAGAUGAAGGGAGAUUUAUUCUCAAUCACCCAAUAACCAUCACAAAAGCACUUCAAAAAAGAAACACCAGGUCUGUAGAAUAUGAUGAAAAAGUGUUAAUCAUAGAUUAAUUUCCUUAGGUCGGUCUUGCAGGGUGCUCCAGGGUUCUCAUUUAUUUUGGUUCUGAAAAGCAUUUAUCACUGCUUUAUUAUGCUUGUCACAUGAGCCUUUUUGGAAGCUCUGUUUCACAUCAGCUAGCCAAGUUCCUUUUAGUCGUUGUGUUGUGCUGGAGGUCAGGGCUAAGACCUUUGCCUCACAAGAUGACCCAAGAAUUUGGGCAGAGAAUUAUGUUCUAAUUUGUUGAAAGUACAAAGGAGAAGGCUUGCAUUUCGUAGUGUGUUCACAGCUCCAGUGAGUUUGAACAAUCAGGUCUCUAAGGAAUAUCGGUAGUAAGCAGUAUGAGCAGAGGAAAAUUUUUCCUUUCCUUUAGUAAAGGAAGAAGGUUAGAGAUUUUACUCUUAAAUGUGUUGCCCUUAUGUCUUUUUUUCUUUUAUCAUUUCAUCCCCACCUUGCAUGCUUUCUUCUCAUUGCUCUCUUUUGUUCAAAACAUAUAGCUAAAGUUAACAGAGAAUAAACAUGUUGCUUUAUUUAGAAGGUUUUCUUUGCUCACAAUGUAAGGUCAAACCAUUUUCCAAGUAAUAAAAUUUUGUAGAUGGUGAAUUGUGGAAGUUCAGAUGUGUAUAUUACUCUGGGACACGCCCUUCACCCCUUCCUAGCUUGCACCUGGUGUUAUUGACAUGCUUUCCAACACAUCUGUGCUUCAUUUGCAACUCUGUGUGGUCUUUGGCAGAAGAGGUGCAAGUGCUCUAACUCUGGGUUGACUGCACAGAGAGAUGUAUGACUCUCUCUGCUCUUCCUUGGAAAGGCUGUUGUACAGGUCAGCAGAAUAUGAUGGGUCAGUCUGUGGGCUGGAGUUAGCUUUAUCUGGAUAAACCAGGACUGUUGGUACCAACUGACAUCUAAGAUUGUGAAAUGGCAACUGAGGACUUGAGGUCAUGACGUAUUGCAGCAUCACCCUUCAAACACCUAGCAGCUUUCCUGCUGAAACAGGACAUCACACAAAGGUCUCUCAGCCCAGAUCAUAUUACAGAAGGA